rfam:Ovis aries breed Texel chromosome 14, whole genome shotgun sequence.
GUCCAGUGGUUAGGACUUGGCACUUUCAUUGCCAGCACCCAGGUUCAAUUCCUGG